rnacentral:rRNA from 1 species
UACGUAGGUGGCAAGCGUUGUCCGGAUUUAUUGGGUUUAAAGGGUGCGUAGGCGGCCCUGUAAGCCAGCGCUGAAAUAUCCCGGCUUAACCGGGAGGGUGGCAUUGAUACUGCAGGGCUUGAGUAAAGUUGAGGUUGGCGGAAUUGACGGUGUAGCGGUGAAAUGCUUAGAUAUCGUCAAGAACACCGAUAGUGAAGACAGCUAACUAAGCUGUAACUGACGCUGAGGCACGAAAGCGUGGGGAGCGAACAGG